GACGAACGCUGGCGGCGUGCCUAAUACAUGCAAGUCGAGCGCAGGAAGCCGUCUGAACCCUUCGGGGGGACGACGGCGGAAUGAGCGGCGGACGGGUGAGUAACACGUAAAGAACCUGCCCAUAGGUCUGGGAUAACCACGAGAAAUCGGGGCUAAUACCGGAUGUGUCAUCGGACCGCAUGGUCCGCUGAUGAAAGGCGCUCCGGCGUCGCCCAUGGAUGGCUUUGCGGUGCAUUAGCUAGUUGGUGGGGUAACGGCCCACCAAGGCGACGAUGCCUAGCCGACCUGAGAAGGUGAUCGGCCACACUGGGACUGAGACACGGCCCAGACUCCUACGGGAGGCAGCAGUAGGGAAUCUUCCACAAUGGACGAAAGUCUGAUGGAGCAACGCCGCGUGAACGAUGAAGGCUUUCGGGUCGUAAAGUUCUGUUGUAAGGGAAGAACAAGUGCCGCAGGCAAUGGCGGCACCUUGACGGUACCUUGCGAGAAAGCCACGGCUAACUACGUGCCAGCCGCCGCCGUAA
rnacentral:rRNA from 1 species